AUUGAAUGCUGGCGGCAGGCCUAACACAUGCAAGUCGAGCGGAUGAAGGGAGCUUGCUCCUGGAUUCAGCGGCGGACGGGUGAGUAAUGCCUAGGAAUCUGCCUGGUAGUGGGGGAUAACGUCCGGAAACGGGCGCUAAUACCGCAUACGUCCUAAGGGAGAAAGUGGGGGAUCUUCGGACCUCACGCUAUCAGAUGAGCCUAGGUCGGAUUAGCUAGUUGGUGGGGUAAAGGCCUACCAAGGCGACGAUCCGUAACUGGUCUGAGAGGAUGAUCAGUCACACUGGAACUGAGACACGGUCCAGACUCCUACGGGAGGCAGCAGUGGGGAAUAUUGGACAAUGGGCGAAAGCCUGAUCCAGCCAUGCCGCGUGUGUGAAGAAGGUCUUCGGAUUGUAAAGCACUUUAAGUUGGGAGGAAGGGCAGUAAGUUAAUACCUUGCUGUUUUGACGUUACCAACAGAAUAAGCACCGGCUAACUUCGUG
rnacentral:rRNA from 1 species